rnacentral:rRNA from 1 species
GAUGAACGCUGGCGGCGUGCCUAAUACAUGCAAGUCGAGCGGACCAAAGAGAGCUUGCUCUCUGAGGUUAGCGGCGGACGGGUGAGUAACACGUGGGUAACCUGCCUGUAAGACGGGGAUAACUUCGGGAAACCGAAGCUAAUACCGGAUGAUAAAGAGAAACGCCUGUUUCUUUUUUGAAAGUCGGCCUUGUGCUGACGCUUACAGAUGGGCCCGCGGCGCAUUAGCUAGUUGGUGAGGUAACGGCUCACCAAGGCGACGAUGCGUAGCCGACCUGGGAGGGUGAUCGGCCACACUGGGACUGAGACACGGCCCAGACUCCUACGGGAGGCAGCAGUAGGGAAUCUUCGGCAAUGGACGAAAGUCUGACCGAGCAACGCCGCGUGAGCGAUGAAGGCCUUCGGGUCGUAAAGCUCUGUUGUCAGAGAAGAACAAGUACCGGAGUAACUGCCGGUACCUUGACGGUACCUGACCAGAAAGCCACGGCUAACUACGUGCCAGCCGCCGCCGUAAAAC